rnacentral:rRNA from 1 species
CAGCCGCCGCGGUAAUACCGGCGGCCCGAGUGGCGGUCACUAUUAUUGGGCUUAAAGCGUCCGUAGCCGGGGUGGGAAGUCCUCCGGGAAAUCUGGCCGCUUAACGGUCAGAAUGCCGGAGGAUACUCCCAGCCUAGGGAGCGGGAGAGGCCGAGGGGAUUCCCGGGGUAGGGGUGAAAUCCUAUAAUCCCGGGAGGACCACCUGUGGCGAAGGCGCUCGGCUGGAACGCGUCUGACGGUGAGGGACGAAGGCCAGGGGAGCAAACCGGAUUAGAUACCCGGGUAGUCCUGGCUGUAAACGAUGCGGACUUUGUGUCGGACAAGCUAUGAGCUUGUCCGGUGCCGGAGGGAAACCGUUAAGUCCGCCGCCUGGGGAGUACGGCCGCAAGGCUGAAACUUAAAGGAAUUGGCGGG